GACGAACGCUGGCGGCGUGCUUAACACAUGCAAGUCGAACGGAAAGGCCCUGCUUGCAGGGUACUCGAGUGGCGAACGGGUGAGUAACACGCGGGUGAUCUGCCCUGCACUUCGGGAUAAGCCUGGGCAACUGGGUCUAAUACCGGAUAGGAGCCAUAUUUAGUGUGAUGGUUGGAAAGUUUUUUCGGUGUAGGAUGAGCUGGCGGCCUAUCAGCUUGUUGGUGUGGUAAUGGCCUACCAAGGCGGCGACGGGUAGCCGGCCUGUGAGGGUGGACUGCGACAUUGAGACUGAGAGACGGCCCCGAUACCUACGGGUGGGAGAAGUGGGGAAUAUUGCACGAUGGGCGCAAGCCUGAUGCAGCGGCGCCGCGUAGGGGAUAACGGUCUUCGGGUUGUAAACUCAUUUCGCUAGGGACGAAGCUUUUUGUGACGGUACCUAGAUAAGAAGCCCCGGCUAACUACGUG
rnacentral:rRNA from 1 species